UCGGGGCAAGUCCAUGCCAUCCUCACUGAGCUGCUGGAUGGCAACCAAAUUGACUGGUGGCUCUUUCCUCAUGGAAGUGCAGCCUUCCAGGAACUGAUGAGGCAAGAGGUGAACUGGCAGAAGAUGAAUCUAGGAGAGGCUAAUUAUAUCCAAGUAAUUAAUGCCAAGAGCAAAGAGAAUGAAAAGGAUUCCCUUGGUGUUCUGCUCCUAAACCCUGAACCAAAACCCAGGACCAUGUUCAAGCAGCAGAGAGGAGAGAGGGGGGCAUUUCAGAGGACAGCAAGGACCAGCCCCUUCAUCCAUCUACUCCUCAGAAGGGACAGAACAGAUCUGGACUGAAGAUCAUCAACAAGAUGGAAAUUCAACUUCCAGAAGGGAUAAGAUUUUACAGAGAACAUACUGAGGAGCCGGUUCUCGUAAUCAAGCCAGGUCUCAUUUCCUAGAGAAGUGGCACGAAGUAUUUAGUGAGUAGAAGUGACAGCAUGGCUUCAUCUGGCACUGCAAACUCACAGUCCUGUUCGGAGUCACCAUAAAUCAUCAGCGGUAAAGUAUCUGGUUUCCUAAAGGAGCAGCUUUAUUUCAUUAACAUUUUGAAAGUGACGUCGCUAAUUGUACCGUAAUUUAUCCAGGACCACAGUGUGAACUGCUGUUUUCAGUCAGGUUUUGGCCCUCCUUGCCAAGAGUUUAAGUACAGAAAAGAGGAAGGGAGAGCAAGGAAUUAAAGAGAAACAAGAAUUGAAGGGUAUCUAAAAGGGGCAGCAGUGGUAGAUGUGAGACAAGCUGGGAUUUUCAUUAGAGGGAUCUGAAAACUGUCCCAGCAAUGGAACUGCAAGCUGAGUAAACAGCCAAUUCCUCCAGGUCAAGGCUACUCCCUCCGAUACUCUCAAGUAUUUCCUACCCACCCAUGAGCAGGAUCAGCCUGUGCCUGGUAUUGCAGGCUUGCUCUGGCAAGUUUUUUACUGAGGGGUUUUAAAAUAAAAGAUCCUAGCAACAAGGUGAAGGACUGAUUAAGGCCAGCAGUGAGCAGUUGUGUAAACUGAGGCAUGUGCAAAGGUGUCAGGGAAAAUACUGGGAUCUAAGUAUGUGCUUUAAAUGCUGGAAUGCAGCUGAAGGUGUCUUAAUAUGACACUUCAAAGUACAAGCAGUGGUUUUGUUUAUUAAAAUCAGUCUUGAUGUUCUCUCACUACUUUGAGAAGCUUGGUGGGUACUAGUUAUGAAAACACCUGCAGUUAUUCAGAGUUCAAGUAUGCACAG